GGUGGCUCAGGGUAGAGCACUUGCCUUGCAUGCAUGAGGCCCUAGGUUUGAUUCCUUAGCACCA
rnacentral:tRNA from 1 species